GUCAUAUUUAACCGAACUCUCGGCAAGCGUUGUGAAGUCUGUUCGGUCAUAUACAGAAGCAUGCAGAGCCCAACAACCAUGGUGUGUUUAAGAAAGUUAUUUUUUCAAUUCGGAUUACAGUCAAAUCCAAAGGACAGUGGGAACAGUUUAUAUUUCAUAUAUCCUUAUGGAUUUAAGGAUCAAUCGGAUCGGACAAAACUAUAUCCAGUUAGAAGAUGGUCAUUGCCGCUUGUCGAACACAGUACGGAAAAUAAUGAUGAAGAAUUGACCAGAGACAAUUCAGAUGUGGCCAUUGAUGCCUCUUCAGACAAAAGUGCCCUGUGUUACCCAUACGGUCGAUAUGGUCAUUGUAUAUCCGUUAGGAGCGCGGUGUUUCAGCUGCUGUCCGCCAUGUGUAUCUUCCUGCUUAUCCAUAAGUAUUGAUGAAGAGUAUCGCAAGGCGGAAACGCAUUGGUGGUCAAAUCGGACUGGUCAGAUGGUCAAGGGUGAGGAUAUGGCCGCCCCUUCGUGACGAGUUCAUGGCGGGAACAUACCGAGGGACGGACGUUGCUGCGGGUGGUCUGUGAGGGGAGACAUGCCAAGAUUGUGGCGUUUUUCUGAGGGAACUGGAAGAUUUUUAUCUACUUUGCAGUCCAUGGUUAUGUUUCCAAGAGAGGAGAUACAGACGAUUGUGCAGCUCGAUCCUAUCUGUUCCGCGUGUUGGGAUCAAACUAACCGUUAUUUAAGAUUGUUCAAAGAAGAUUUUCAGAACAUUUCGAAUGCAAACAUAGUCGUACGUUACUACAGUGUUAACACUUCACAAACAUGAAACUCGUUGAAUCGAGAUUACCCCCACAACGCUUUGACCGUAUUACAAGGAGGCUACGAUUGGACCUAUAUUACAAGGAGACGACCGGUUGGACUGAUAUUAAAAGGAUGCUACCGAUUAGACUGAUAUUAAAAGGUUGCUACGAUUGGACUGUUAUUAAAAGGAGGCUACGAUUGGACUGAUAUUAUAAGAAGGCUACCGAUUGGACUGAUAUUAAAAGGAGGCUACCGAAUGGACUGAUACAACUAGGGUUCUACCGUUUGAAAUCGUAUUUAACAUUUGUACAUUUUUCUAUUCUCAUAUCAAAGUAUACAUGUACAAUCAUGUUGUUGAAAAGUGCUAUUGACUCAGCUGUGUUAACUCCGGCCAACAAGUGCUUGUGAAGACUUCAUAAUGUUAUUGACAUUGCCCCGGGACCCGUAUGGAAUCUUUGACGGGAUAUUGUUCACUAGAUUUGGACCCUAUUGGGAACGUUAAUAAAUGUUUACUAAA